GAGAGCAUAAUACGAUGAAAGUUGCAAGCUGUGUUUGGGGGGGAGUUAUUGUCUAUCGUUGGCCUCUAUGGUAGAACCCGUCGGGGAGGCCUGAGAGACGGUGGUUUAUCCUAU
rnacentral:ncRNA from 1 species